GGGUUGUGAGGUUAAGCGACUAAGCGUACACGGUGGAUGCCCUGGCAGUCAGAGGCGAUGAAGGACGUGCUAAUCUGCGAUAAGCGUCGGUAAGGUGAUAUGAACCGUUAUAACCGGCGAUUUCCGAAUGGGGAAACCCAGUGUGUUUCGACACACUAUCAUUAACUGAAUCCAUAGGUUAAUGAGGCGAACCGGGGGAACUGAAACAUCUAAGUACCCCGAGGAAAAGAAAUCAACCGAGAUUCCCCCAGUAGCGGCGAGCGAACGGGGAGCAGCCCAGAGCCUGAAUCAGUGUGUGUGUUAGUGGAAGCGUCUGGAAAGGCGCGCGAUACAGGGUGACAGCCCCGUACACAAAAAUGCACAUACUGUGAGCUCGAUGAGUAGGGCGGGACACGUGGUAUCCUGUCUGAAUAUGGGGGGACCAUCCUCCAAGGCUAAAUACUCCUGACUGACCGAUAGUGAACCAGUACCGUGAGGGAAAGGCGAAAAGAACCCCGGCGAGGGGAGUGAAAAAGAACCUGAAACCGUGUACGUACAAGCAGUGGGAGCACGCUUCGGCGUGUGACUGCGUACCUUUUGUAUAAUGGGUCAGCGACUUAUAUUCUGUAGCAAGGUUAACCGAAUAGGGGAGCCGAAGGGAAACCGAGUCUUAACUGGGCGUUAAGUUGCAGGGUAUAGACCCGAAACCCGGUGAUCUAGCCAUGGGCAGGUUGAAGGUUGGGUAACACUAACUGGAGGACCGAACCGACUAAUGUUGAAAAAUUAGCGGAUGACUUGUGGCUGGGGGUGAAAGGCCAAUCAAACCGGGAGAUAGCUGGUUCUCCCCGAAAGCUAUUUAGGUAGCGCCUCGUGAAUUCAUCUCCGGGGGUAGAGCACUGUUUCGGCAAGGGGGUCAUCCCGACUUACCAACCCGAUGCAAACUGCGAAUACCGGAGAAUGUUAUCACGGGAGACACACGGCGGGUGCUAACGUCCGUCGUGAAGAGGGAAACAACCCAGACCGCCAGCUAAGGUCCCAAAGUCAUGGUUAAGUGGGAAACGAUGUGGGAAGGCCCAGACAGCCAGGAUGUUGGCUUAGAAGCAGCCAUCAUUUAAAGAAAGCGUAAUAGCUCACUGGUCGAGUCGGCCUGCGCGGAAGAUGUAACGGGGCUAAACCAUGCACCGAAGCUGCGGCAGCGACACUAUGUGUUGUUGGGUAGGGGAGCGUUCUGUAAGCCUGUGAAGGUGUGCUGUGAGGCAUGCUGGAGGUAUCAGAAGUGCGAAUGCUGACAUAAGUAACGAUAAAGCGGGUGAAAAGCCCGCUCGCCGGAAGACCAAGGGUUCCUGUCCAACGUUAAUCGGGGCAGGGUGAGUCGACCCCUAAGGCGAGGCCGAAAGGCGUAGUCGAUGGGAAACAGGUUAAUAUUCCUGUACUUGGUGUUACUGCGAAGGGGGGACGGAGAAGGCUAUGUUGGCCGGGCGACGGUUGUCCCGGUUUAAGCGUGUAGGCUGGUUUUCCAGGCAAAUCCGGAAAAUCAAGGCUGAGGCGUGAUGACGAGGCACUACGGUGCUGAAGCAACAAAUGCCCUGCUUCCAGGAAAAGCCUCUAAGCAUCAGGUAACAUUAAAUCGUACCCCAAACCGACACAGGUGGUCAGGUAGAGAAUACCAAGGCGCUUGAGAGAACUCGGGUGAAGGAACUAGGCAAAAUGGUGCCGUAACUUCGGGAGAAGGCACGCUGAUAUGUAGGUGAAGUCCCUCGCGGAUGGAGCUGAAAUCAGUCGAAGAUACCAGCUGGCUGCAACUGUUUAUUAAAAACACAGCACUGUGCAAACACGAAAGUGGACGUAUACGGUGUGACGCCUGCCCGGUGCCGGAAGGUUAAUUGAUGGGGUUAGCGGUAACGCGAAGCUCUUGAUCGAAGCCCCGGUAAACGGCGGCCGUAACUAUAACGGUCCUAAGGUAGCGAAAUUCCUUGUCGGGUAAGUUCCGACCUGCACGAAUGGCGUAAUGAUGGCCAGGCUGUCUCCACCCGAGACUCAGUGAAAUUGAACUCGCUGUGAAGAUGCAGUGUACCCGCGGCAAGACGGAAAGACCCCGUGAACCUUUACUAUAGCUUGACACUGAACAUUGAGCCUUGAUGUGUAGGAUAGGUGGGAGGCUUUGAAGUGUGGACGCCAGUCUGCAUGGAGCCGACCUUGAAAUACCACCCUUUAAUGUUUGAUGUUCUAACGUUGACCCGUGAUCCGGGUUAUGGACAGUGUCUGGUGGGUAGUUUGACUGGGGCGGUCUCCUCCUAAAGAGUAACGGAGGAGCACGAAGGUUGGCUAAUCCUGGUCGGACAUCAGGAGGUUAGUGCAAUGGCAUAAGCCAGCUUGACUGCGAGCGUGACGGCGCGAGCAGGUGCGAAAGCAGGUCAUAGUGAUCCGGUGGUUCUGAAUGGAAGGGCCAUCGCUCAACGGAUAAAAGGUACUCCGGGGAUAACAGGCUGAUACCGCCCAAGAGUUCAUAUCGACGGCGGUGUUUGGCACCUCGAUGUCGGCUCAUCACAUCCUGGGGCUGAAGUAGGUCCCAAGGGUAUGGCUGUUCGCCAUUUAAAGUGGUACGCGAGCUGGGUUUAGAACGUCGUGAGACAGUUCGGUCCCUAUCUGCCGUGGGCGCUGGAGAACUGAGGGGGGCUGCUCCUAGUACGAGAGGACCGGAGUGGACGCAUCACUGGUGUUCGGGUUGUCAUGCCAAUGGCACUGCCCGGUAGCUAAAUGCGGAAGAGAUAAGUGCUGAAAGCAUCUAAGCACGAAACUUGCCCCGAGAUGAGUUCUCCCUGACUCCUUGAGAGUCCUGAAGGAACGUUGAAGACGACGACGUUGAUAGGCCGGGUGUGUAAGCGCAGCGAUGCGUUGAGCUAACCGGUACUAAUGAACCGUGAGGCUUAACCUUACAACGCCGAAGGUGUUU
rnacentral:rRNA from 1 species